CCGAUUUGAUUAGUAUUUGGAUUAUUUGUGGUUGCCGGGCCGUUGUGCGUCUAUUUAGAUUUGGGAUUUUUUGCGUUCAGAGGGUUUCGACAUCUCUAAUUGGGGUAAAGAAUUCCUGCUGUUUCCCCUUUUUUCCGUUUGGGAUUUCUAGGUUGUGGCUGGGUUUUUGGCCAAUUUACACCUCUUUUCAAGGGUGGCGUCAUUGCAGCCCGCUGUGGAACAAGUGUGAUCCAACUAAGGGAUAUUACGAAUCGUGAUUCUAAAUCAGCUUCUCCUUAGUUCACAAAUACCAAGAUCGUUAUUUAUCUAAAUUUUGUGCCCAUCUUGGGUUCGCUUUGAACUUGGUUGAGACCGAUCUAAUCCGGCGUUUCUAGGUGAGUUCUGCAUGUUUAUCAGCUUAUAUGGUUUCGAUCUUUUGUUUUUCGUUGGAUCGUUAUUGUGCGUGUCUGAUGCAUUUUGUUUUCCAGAUUCAGGAAACUGUCCCUUUUAGAUUUUUGGAUUUUCGAUUCUGAUUCUUGGAACUCUUUGUGCUAAAGGUAUAUAAAUGUAUUAUUUGUUUUUUCCUUUGUUUUCUUUGCAGCUGAAUUUGAUUUUUUUUUGUUUUGUUUUGGUGAUUUGGGACCUCUUUUGUGCAUGUUUGGGUUGUUAAUUGGUAAUGCAUAUUUUCUUGCUGAUUUUUGUGCUAGCAAUUUUAUUUAAAUCCACAGCUGCUUUUUUUCAUUUGACUUCAUGUGAUGGUUAUGAUUGAUUCAUAAGAUUUAGGUGGUCGUGAUAAAAUUAGAAGAGUGAUAUCUAUGGUAUUUUGGAUUUGUGAGAGUGAUUUGUUAGAGCAGUGAGUAAAUUUUCAUAUGUAGUGUAGGGUCAAGUUUAAUAAUCAUUAAUGCGAUUUGGUAUAUGUCUGGUACAAACACUUUCAAAUUGUAGAUACACGGUUUGUUGGUGCAGCAGGGGGCUGGAAAAUUUUUUCAGUAUGUAUUUUAUGGUUUGGCUUUUUUUUGUUAGGCCUUUCCCGGCUAAAACAGUAUUUUGCAUUUUGGUUGCUCAGUUAAUAAAUUUGAGAUCUGCUGGCACCUGUGACGCUCUUCUUAUAUUUUGGAUAAGUUUUAUGUCCUGCUUUUUUUCCAGCUUUAAAAUGCAUUGAUAAUUGUUGGAUUCAAAUAGAUUUAUAAUUUUUGCGAAGAAAUGAGAGGAUUCAUGUUUUACGAACAGGGAGAGGAAGAAAGAAAACAUUAGUUUAGAUUGCAAUUUUAAAACUUUUUAUGUUGUUAGUGCUGGAACCAAUGUGUUUUGUUGCGAAAUUGAUAAUGUGCAAAGUUAUUAGAAUUUUGGAAAACUUUGUCUUUCUCACUUUUACCUGGCAGAGGGAACACAACUCUUACGUGUAUGAUUUCAAGUUUUUCCCUUAGAAAUUCAAGCUCUAUUGGAUACAUGAGGUAUAAGAGUCUAUUUGGGAUAUUUUCAAGUUUUACUGAUUCCUGAAAAGAAGCAUGCUUAAGAGUAAUCAUAUUUCAGUUUUUAUUGAAUUCAGGUAACCAUCUUCAGUUUUUUGCUUUGAUCUGAAGGCUUUGUUUUUAUUGAGUUCAGAUAUCAAAGUUGGGAAUCAGUUCAUAUGUUUUUCAAUGUUUUUAUUCCGAUUUAAUAAUGUGAUUUAAUGGUGUGAUGCUGAUUUAGGCUAAAUUCAGAGGCUUUUCAAUAGGCAAGUUUGCAACAAGGAAUUCAGAGGCAGUUGUAUCAUUAGCUGAAAUAUACUAGAUCUAAUCCUUAGACAUCA